rfam:Gossypium arboreum cultivar AKA8401 contig_88265_1, whole genome shotgun sequence.
AACCCAUGGUAAGGGCACCUUCUCAAUAGAUCAUCGUAUCUCUCCCAUGCAUCAUAAAUGGUUUCUAAAUCCAUCUGUACAAAAGAAGAAAUAUCAUUCCUUAAUUU